rnacentral:rRNA from 1 species
CAGUCGCCGCGGUAAUGCGUAGGUGGCAAGCGUUGUCCGGAAUUAUUGGGCGUAAAGGGCUCGCAGGCGGUUUCUUAAGUCUGAUGUGAAAGCCCCCGGCUCAACCGGGGAGGGUCAUUGGAAACUGGGAAACUUGAGUGCAGAAGAGGAGAGUGGAAUUCCACGUGUAGCGGUGAAAUGCGUAGAGAUGUGGAGGAACACCAGUGGCGAAGGCGACUCUCUGGUCUGUAACUGACGCUGAGGAGCGAAAGCGUGGUGAGCGAACAGGAUUAGAUACCCGAGUAGUCCCUGUCUCUUAUAC